rnacentral:rRNA from 1 species
GAUGAACGCUGGCGGCGUGCCUAAUACAUGCAAGUCGAGCGAACCACUUCGGUGGUGAGCGGCGAACGGGUGAGUAACACGUAGGUGAUCUGCCCAUCAGACGGGGACAACGAUUGGAAACGAUCGCUAAUACCGGAUAGGACGAAAGUUUAAAGGUGCUUCUGGCACCGCUGAUGGAUGAGCCUGCGGCGCAUUAGCUAGUUGGUAGGGUAAAGGCCUACCAAGGCGACGAUGCGUAGCCGACCUGAGAGGGUGAACGGCCACACUGGGACUGCGACACGGCCCAGACUCCGACGGGAGGCAGCAGUAGGUAAUCUUCGGCGAUGGGCGAAAGCCUGACCGAGCAACGCCGCGUGAAUGAUGAAGGCCUUCGGGCUGUAAAAUUCUGUUAUAAGGGAAGAACGACUUUAGUAGGAAAUGGCUAGAGUGUGACGGUACCUUAUGAGAAAGCCACGGCUAACUACGUGCCAGCAGCCGCAGUAA